CAUACCACGAGAGUGAGUCCACCCCUGACAUUGCCUGGAGUGCCAAGACCCAGAGGCUGGAGGGCCCAGGGAUCUAGGAUAGAACCAAACACAGUUGGAGGGAAAAAAGAGCAAUCUAAUGAUUCCUAAUGAUAUUCUGCUAUACUCAUAGAUUGGUGGAUAUUCCAAUUGUUACCAGAAAGGCUUCAUCCAUCAACUGAUGGAAACAGAUGCAGCGACCCACAGCCAAGCAUUGGGCCCAUCUGGGGGAAUCCUGCUGAAGAGAAGAUUUCAGGAAAGUAUUGAAAGAGACCAUGAGAAAAGAAAAUACCUUAAAGGAGAGAAAAGGGAAAGAAAAGUGAUUAAUCCAUGUGUCAUGAAAGCAAGAUUCAGUUCGGUGAUUUGUGAGGAGGACGAUGGCCAAAUAAGAGGUGCAGGAGAAUGGGAGAAGACAGUGAAGAAUGGAGGAGUACAAUCAAAGAAAAUUGCAAAUACAAUACAAAGAAGAAGAGGAGGAGGAGGAGCAUUUUCCUGUGAGCCAUUUCUAAGUAAUUGUUUAGGAGGAAACCCAUGGAAAACCAUGCUCCCUCACUGGUGUCUAGGCAAAGUGUUCGAUUUUCACCACUGAUGUGUCAUCUGUGUACCUGGAAUGUUUGUCCUUUUGAGAUUCGGAUUAUGCCAGGUUUGGACAGAACUCUGCAAGCUGGCUUCUGCUGUGCUUCCUUUUCUCUGAUCUCCAGUGUCUACUAUGUUCUCUGAACAUUCCUCCAUUUCUGGAACAAGAACUUCAAAGGCUAUCAUUUGCUUCUUUCUAAGGAAAUCUGGUUCCCUCUAGAAAAGAAUUGUGCUGAAGGAGCUAAAGAUCUAGGGCUGGAGAUUGCUCAGUGGUCAAGAGCACUUGCUGCACUUUCAAAGGACCUAGUUUAAGUUCCCAGCACUCAUAUAUCCACACACAAUUGUCCGUCACUUCAAUUCUAGAGUAUCUGCUGUUCUCUUCUGGCUUUAGCAAGCACCAGGCACACAUUGGUACACACACAUGCAUGCAGGAAAAUCACCAGGCACUCAUGUGAUACACAUAUAUGCAUGCAGGAAAAUAUUCAUAGCUAUAAAAUGAAAUAAAUAUGUCUAAACAAGAAAAAGAAACUAUAGACCUAGGAACUACAUGUGUUAUUGAGGUAUCAUUGUUGCCAGACCCUGAUAUGGAAAUCUAACCCUAUCACAGAGUGGAUUGAUUACUUUUCUUGUAUCAGUGACCAAAUAGCUAAGAGAAGAAACUUAAGGAAGGUGGAGUCAUGGGAUGCGAGCACAGCACAGCAUGGUGGGGGAGACACAGCAGGGACAAGACUGCUGGCUGCACCUUCAGCAGUAAGGAAGACUGCAGUAAAUGCUGCCAUUCCUCUCACUUCUUCCUCUUCAUACAAUCAGGGAGCUCACCCCAUGCAAUGAUGCCAAUCACAUUUAGGGGGGGUCCCCCCUCUUCAGUUGUAUCUAUUUAAAAAUCACUCUCACAGAUGUAAACAGAGGUUUAUUUCUGAGGGGUUCUAAAUCCAGGCAAGUUGUCAUUGAAGAUUAGCCAUCAAAUGAUUGGUCCCAACAUUCCCCUCUGCGUACAUUAAACGUCUUCUUCAAUAAGUAGAAAUUUACAACGUAUUCUAUCUAUUAUGCUUGUUGCCCAGUCUGCCCUGUGUCUAAACUCUUCCCAGAGGGUCUAGCAUUUCGCCCCGUGUCAUUAUCACUCACCCACAGGGACUUCCUUUGUCAACGAAUGCAGAUGCUAACCAGGUCCCACGUGCUGCUUCCACUGUGCCCGCUAACUCCCAUUAGCAGAUGCCCAUCUUGGUCAACCCUGGUUAAUAUUUCUGGUGUCAAAUUCUUCAAGAAGGAAUGGUAGGAAAUCAGAAAGCUAGGAAGGAAAAUUCUCCUUAAAUGUGUACUAGAAUUAUAUCUUGAGGCUGUGUUCUCAUUUUAGCAAUGGUAUUAUAUAUGGAUCUCUCAUAAUCUUCUUUGUAGCCCAUUCGAAGGGCAUAAACAAUAUAAAAUGAUGCAAACAAAAUUUCAGUUGGAAGACUUCAAGAAUACUUCUGAGUAGUAGGAAAGUAGAGUGUUCAUCAAAUCUGCAUGUUGAGACCUCUCAGAACAUAAAAGUGUGCUUUCGGAGACACGCUCUCCUUCACAAACACCAAGGCAGAUGAAAGGAAUGGCCCCAGGAAUGUUAGUGGCACUUUGAUUUGUACAUCUCUUCCUACUCACAUGCCUGAAUGUACUACCUGUGUGAUCUUGAGCAUUUACCUAACAUUUCUUUGAGCUGAUUUCAUCAUCCACGAAAGGCAAAGUCUUGCUUCCUUGUCACCAUCACAGGAAUGUCAUUGUGAUUUUCGUGAAGUAUACACUAUUUUGAAUUUCUCAGUAACUGCCAAUAUAUUCUCCAUCUAAGAUCAGGAGAAAAUAUAUCACCACAAGUUCAUGAUGGGGAGCUGCCCUGUGGGGAUCUCUCUGGAUUUAGUGUUAAAGAAAAAAACAAUUUCUCCAGCUCCGUGGCAUGAUGCCACAGCUGGAGAGAACCUACCCCUGGGAUCAAAAGGGAAAGCAUACAGCUUUGAGUGGGCAUGAAGCUGGCAGCUGAUGGGUUCCAGUAAGAGAGAGAAGACCCAAAUUCAGGAAGCAGGUGUGUUAUCUAAGUGAAUAAGGCCUGGAUCUAGGCAACAAGAGCUGUCUACCAGAUAAAAAUGAUGAAAGAUAGUAGUCAGCAGCCUGCCCCUGCCUUCCUAACCCACAACUUACUUUAUAUUUUCAAAAAUAUAUACAAAGCUAUUUACUGCAGCAUUAUUUAUGAUGGCAAAAAAGAAAAACCAGGAAAGUAGAAGAAAACUGAAUACUAAAAAAAUAAGAUAACGGUAGAUUUUUUUUAAAUCACAGAUUGAAAAACAAAUGAACAAAUAAAACCCAAAAAGAACCACAUGAAGAAACAGGUGUGCAGAUUCAUUUAUUUACCGUUAACCUAGACCUUGAAAAGAUUUGAGAAACAGAAGAAGCUGAACAAACAUACUUUGCUUGAAUUUUGUUUUUUUAAUUUGAAUAUGUAGAUAUUUUUCAUUAAAUAACAUUGUAUUAACAUGUAUGGAUUUUAUUAUUAUGAAUUAAAAAUGCAGAAUUUAGUAACAGCUCUCACAACAGCCGUUCAAAAACCAUGGGAUGAACAAAGAUUGUUAAUUACAUAAAAAGAUUUCUGAACUUUUAAAAAGAUGAAAUACAGAUCUUCUGCCAGAGAGAAAUUUCUGUAAGUAAAGUUAUUUUGAAUUUAAAGAAAAAGGUAGGGGGGGGGUACAUUUUUCACCAGUUAUUUAAACCAGAGGGCUAUACUGUUUUGACUGCCAUCGAAUGGAGGAGCAAGAAUUUAAACUCCCUAAGAAAAAAGAUGUUAUAUAAUGAGGAGCUGUGUGAAUUGUCAUCAGAAUAUAUUUUGUCCAUCCAUGGCCAGUGGUUUGUAAUUCUGUCAGUUCACUUUCACUGUUGCUGUGAAGAUCAAAGAAAGACAUAAUAUAAAAAUGAUUUAAUAACUACAUAAAUGUGAGAAAUUUAUCAUUUGCAUUAAGAAUUAUUUUUAUCCAAAUAUUUUGAAACCUGGCAUGAAUACUUGAGGCUCCCAAUACACUUACAACUAAACUACAGAAUAAAUAUAUUGCAAAUAAACUCAGACACAAAGAGAAUCAUCCAGUCCCCUGACUAGCCGUGUGGUAUGUGAGACCCUGCAGGCAAGAAAGAAAUGAUUGUCUGAUCAGAGGCUACACAAUGAUAUUCAUAGCUAUUCAACAGUAUAUACAGCACAUCCUCAGAGAAACAUAAUCACGCAGUGUUAAAUUCAGAGCACAAACUUACAGGGAAUAAGAAAUUUCAGUAGAAAAUAAAUGAUAUCCACAUUGGGGCAUCUUUGACCAUAACUUUGGAAGAUGGAGGGUUAAAGUGCCUUCGGAUGUCACUUGUACCCAUAUAUUGUGACUGUCUAAUUCAUGGUUUUGAGAGCCACAACUUGCAAACUUCCUAGCACCUAGGGACAUUCUCUGCCAUUAAUUUGGGUGUAGGAGUCCCUUUGCAAUAACUAGGAAAUGUAGGGGAAGAAUUAAUGGCAGGGUAGAGCCUUUACUCAGUAGACAAUAGCAGUGUGUAUGAGUAGGAGACAAUUAAUUGCAGCAUUGGUCUCCGUUCCAAAAUUCCCAGGUCUAUGCACAGAAAUACAUGUUCACUGGAGGGUCACCGAAAACAGUAAAAGUAAGGUUCCAAAAACUCAUUCCUAACUAAAGCAUAUCUGCUUCGCAAUGGAACAAAAAUCCUCUGUAAAUGAGCUUAUGUGUAUCCAGAUUCCUCAAAGAGAGCAGAGUAACAUUUUCCUGUUCAAAAUCAAGGAUUUAAUGUAAUUCUGAACAUCUUUGAUUUUCUCUUCAAGAAACUCUCACGCUGCAUAGGACCUGUAGGUUUAGUAAUUGAAAAGAUAUUGGGCUUGCUACAAACAAAACUCACUGUUCUCAAAGACAGAUUUCAGAGACCCACAUAAAGAUUUUCCAUUUGUUUAUGCAACAAGAACUACUGCAUGUGGCUGCUUUAAUAAGGGGGAAGUCAGCUAACUCAGUAUCCUAUAAUUACUUCUUAGGUUAUACUGUGUUACUGACCUAUCCUGGAAGCUACACCUAUGCCAUGACCAAGUAAGAGAUACUGGCUUGCAAAACCUGAAUAAGGAAAUAUAGGACACAUCAAGAUGGAGUCUUUCUUUGUGUCUCUGACUUACUCCUAUUCAAACAGGAAAUAGGAUGCCUCUAAUUCCACUGAUUACCAGUUUCAGUAUCAACUUAUCAGGACAAUGAUAGGCCCCAUACAAAUGUCACUCUAAUGUUUUUUUCCCAACAGAAGUAGAAGCUGAUCUAUAUAUCCCAGAGCAAUUGUACAAGAGCACAUUGUAUUUGCCAGCUCACUCUUUGAGCCUUGCUAGUCAGAUGCUUAGUUUUCUGUAAUUGAGAUUUUACCCAAAGAAUUCCAAUGGAAUGUUUAAAACUCAAUUUUCCUGUAAUCUCUCAGAAUCUGGUUUCAUUUAUAUUCAACUCACAUAAUGUCUCUUGUGAGUAAAGCAGAUCUACUCUCAAGAGUAAACUUCGCCAAGAAACUCAGGACAGAGACAUCUGCAAGUGACUUGGUAGAGACUUUUCAUGUCUUUCAGGUAGAAGGGCAUACCCUUGUCAGUGUAUAUUCGCCAUCAGAAUGAAACACUUGAGCUUUUCAAAAUGUCACUAAAAAUAAAACUAUUUUGUUUUUAUUAGUAGACUCUUAGAGUUUUCAAAUAAGCUGUGUUAAUUUAACAGCACAAUAGGCUAUAUUCCAAUGUCAUAUUGAAGGGGCAGGGAGAUUCAUUCAAAAGAGACACCAUAUAUAAAAAUUUGCUUCUCAAAAUAAUGGGAAAAUACUCAGUUUACAAAGUUAGAUUAGAUUUUAAAUUCAGGUUCUGUUGCUUUAUUGGCUCCUAUCUUAAGCUUCUGUUUCUUAAAGUGCAUGUGGUUGAACUUAGCUCUCAGGGUUACUAGAUUAUUUUUUUAAUUUAGAUAUACAAAAUUGUUUUGUAAAUGGUUAAGCAAUAUGUCUUUCUCUUUUAUGAAUAUGAUGGUACUACUAAAAAUUAGAAAUUAAAGUCAUGAAGUAAUAAAAUGGGAAGGAUAGAGUUUUUCUUGAUGAUUCUCUUGUUUUAAUGUGCUUCAUUCUGUAAAUGAAAUGAAGUCUUAUUCUGUUUAACAAUCAUUUACUGAGCUUCUCUAUGAACCAGGAUGUCUAUUGAAGUUGGAGAAACAGUUAAUUAACAGGAAUGCCUGAAGGAGUUAAGAUCCAGGUCAAGGAAGUAUCUGCCCAAAGUUUGAAAAUUUGAGGUUUAAACGCUAUAAAAAGGAUCAAUAAAUUUCUCAUAUUUUGAGUCUCUGCCCAGGACUCAACUUCCACUGCCUCUGUGCUCAGGUUUUCUCAUCUGCCUCAAAUCAUAGGAAGUUUAUAAAAGUCAUUUAACACUUUAAAAAUGCCAGUUUUCUAAAGCUCCGGACCAGAUGUCUCCACCAAAUCCCUCUCCUCAGAGCUCACGGGAACCCAGUGGAUGAGAAGGUAGGAGCUGCGAAGACAGAGGGGGAAAGAGGACCCCAGAAUAAGGCCUUAUAAAAACAACUGAGCAUAGCAUGCUCUUACUUAUAAGUGGAUAUAAGCUAUAAAGAAAAAAAAAUAAUCAUGCUAUGGACCACAGACCCGGAA